AAGCAUUUGAACAGUUGCGUUAUGCGAUUUUCGAAACAGCACGGGGAAUGGAUAAUUGGGGUAAUGCUUUUCCGUUGAAAUGGAUUCUUUUGGAACAUUUGAUUGAAAUCAAUAAGAACGAAGGAAAUAAUUUUAUUAGUUUUAAUGACAUGAUAAAACUAGCUAAACAUCCCGAUAUCAAUAUACUGAGAGAGGAUGAUUUGCUGUUUUUUCUUCGAUUUCAGCAUAAUAUAGGGAAACUUAUAUUCUUUGACAAUAUACGGGAUCUGAUCAUUUUAAAACCUCAAUGGUUAGCUGAUGCCUUCCGAUGUUUAGUCUCAGAUAAAAAUAAUAGCACAAAAUUGCACCACCUUGACGAUUGGACGCUAUUUACACGACAAGGCAAAAUAAGCGAGUCUUUGAUAACAGACCUCUUCGAAUCAAAAGCAGGAAGUCAGUUUUCGGGACAGAGGACGAAUUUACAUAAAGUUAUGGAAAAACUUGAUAUAUUGGUAAAAAUUGAAAACUCAAGUUAUUAUAUAAUGCCAAGCAAGAUGAUGUCUUCCACUUUUGAAGAUGUUUGUAAAAUGGUUGGCAUUCAAACAGAACAUUGCAAAAGGACUUCCUGGCUAUGUUUUAAAUUUGAAUUUCUUCCUCAUUCUUUCUUCAACCAUCUAUCUGCUUGGUUUAUCAGAAACUACCACCCUAGCAGAUUAGAGAAUACUUUUGCUUUAUAUCGUGGCAUCUGUAUGUUUGACAUUGAUGGAUCUGGUUGUAAAAAGAUUCUGGUAACAAUGUCAACUGAUACAAUUGCUCUGCAGGUUGUUUCGUUUUCAGAAGAAAAGGAGGAGUUAGGAAGUAUGUGUAGCACAAUUUACAGUGAAGUUAAACAUCUAAUAAAUGAAAUAAUAGAAAGGUAUAAGGUAAAAUUAUCGUUUAAACUGCAUUUCAAAUGCAGUGAUGGCGAUUAUCAUAAAGACACAUUCGCAUAUGAACGAUUGACAACAGAUCAUGAGUGUUUCUGUUUUCAACAUAAGAAAGCACACCAAUCUGACAAGUUAUACCUGCCUUGGAUAAAGAAGAAAUUACAUGUAAGUUAAAAAAAAUGAAAGUUUUGAAAAUGCCCAGAUUAUAAUUUGUUGUCCACCUUAACAGUCAAAAAUCGCAACACACUAUACGUAGUAUCCAUUUCUGAGAUUGAUCAUAUAGUAAAAACCAUAGAUAAAUUAAAAAGAUUAAACUAGUAAGUCAACUUCUUUUAAUUUGGUUCAAUGUUUAUCAAACGAUUUUAUCCCAUUGAAUAGAUUCAUCAAUUGGUUGAUGUUUCCAUUUUUAAACGACAAUUAUAUAAUUUGUUUGAUUUUUCUCUGUAAUGAGUAUUCUUGCGUAUGGUUUUGCUGUACUUCUAAUACAAAGUGUUGUCAUUUUAAAAGCGAUGUUUUGUAACUUUUAAACAUAACUGGAAAGGUUGCCUAGCCAGUACACCAGGCUACCAACCAUUUUAUCUUUAAAUUUUCUGUACUAAGUCAUGAAUAUAGCAGUUGUAAUCAAAUAGUAACUUUCUCUAUGCAUUUGCUUUUUUUGUUGCACUUCAGUAUUUCUGUUUUUUUCCCUAUUAUGGUUGAUGUGUUUCCCUCGGUUUUAAUUAGUAACCCGGAUUUUUUUUUUCUGACAAUCGAUUUAUGACUUUCAAUGACCGGCAUACUUCUGAUACCUUUAUUGAGCUUCUACAUGUAGUACUAUAUUAUUUCAAUUUGUUAAAUAGUUUUUAAACAUUCGGUAAGAUACGUUAAACUGUCGACGUUGAUGUAUAUAUUUAGAUUGGUGGGGUAAUUUAACUACUGAUUCAAGCAUUAUCGAAUUUCAGUGUAUAAGCAUUCAAGGAGAAUAAAAUUCAUCAAACUAAAUGGAAAGGGACAUUAGAACAUAAAUGAUUUACAAGUACACAUAUAAAUACUAUUUAAAUCAUAGAACAUUUAUUUAUUUUAGCAUAAUUCGUUUGGUGAAAUAUAUUUUCAAUCAUUUAGAAUCAAAAGUACCAUUCAUUUCUUGUACAUGUUGUAAGAAUAAACGAUUCCAAUACAAAUGUUUAAAAUAAGACACUUUCAAAGUUUCUUCAAAAUAAAAUUACGCCUUUUACAUAAGAAAAUCAUCAUAUACAAACCAUAUCUGUAAAAAUGUAACAAGGAAGAUAUUACAGAUAUCAAAUUCCUAAUAAAUUUUAAUCAAAUGGAAAAAUCAAACGGUCAAACAUAUCAAACGAAUUAACAGCUGUCUUAUUCCUUACUUAGUACUUAUAAAUGGAAAUCAUAACGUGUAUAUGCAAUUUUUGACAAUUUAGCCAUAGUGAUGGCCGAGACUUACAUAUAUAUCUCAAACCCCAAAGUUUUAUACAAAUUUUGAAGACCAACAAUAAGGGCGAAUCUGCAGAUGUGACCAUACCGUUGCAUGAGGUUGCUACUUUUUUUAAUGUACAAUGAUUUCUGAAUGUUAUUAUAUUCGUUACUGAAACACUGUUCACAUUGUCUGAGCUAUUCAUAUCCUUGGGGAUUAAGGUCUACAUCCGAGAGUUAAUUAACCAAGAAAUAUCGACCCACAUCGAUUCUCAUAACAAAUGUAAAAUAAACUUAAGUAAUCGGUGACAGAUUGAGUACCACUAAUAGAGCGCAUAAUAAAUAUCACCUAAGCUUAAAACUACUGUAUGGGAAACUUUUUUUACGUUUUUACAUGUUGAUAUUUGAUGUUUUAAAGAAUAUCUUUCAACUUAGAUUUCGUUUCAAUAAAUGUUGUAUUAUAGUGUUAAACUUUGCAUAGUUCAAUCACAGUUUGAAAAUAUUGUUUCGUAUUCGAUAUAGUUUUUGUCUGUUUUCAGGUUAAUAGGAAUCCUUCAGAUGGCUCGCAAAUUAGCACAAAUGAUGAUGAUCUUAAUCUAGGUAUUGUAAUUACUUGCAUAUUCCCAUUUCUCAACUUUAUCUUUAAACAGGGUUCUAUUUUAUAUAUUUCAUACUUGUAUGCAAAGCUGACGCGUGUGUGUCGCCUAAAUAUAAUUCCAUUUGUAUCCGGUUAUUAAAACAACAAAAGAAAAAAAAAGUGUAAACUUCAAAUAAAACAGAUCACUGAAACAGAUUUUCUAACUAAUGUUUAAGGCUAAAAAAAAUCACUUCUGUUUAUUAUAUUGCCUCAUGAAUUUUGUCCAUGCAUAACAAUGUUGCUUUCUCUCUCAUAUUAAUUAUACAUAAGAAGAUGUAAUACGAUUUCCACUGAGACAUUUCUUCACAAGAGACCGAAUGACACAGACAUUAACAACUACACGUCACCAUACGGCCUCCAACACGGCCUCCAACAAUUAGCAAAGCCCAUACCGGAUAUAUAAUUGUUGAUCAUGAAGUUAAGAAGACAAACAAUUUACACAGGAAUAAUAGAGACAUAUACAUUAUAAAAACUACUUAACAUGAUAGAUAAAACGAUAAGAGACCAAACGUAAAGUCAAACCCAGACAUCAUUUUUUGGUUUGAGUGUAACUGGUGAACAGAAAUCCAGAAUAAAAGCUGUUCGGAUCGAAUUGAUAUUCACUGAGAAGUAUCAUGUCGAUUACACUGGUGGACUGUUAUAUCUUAUUUGUUUUCGCAUAUUGUUUUAUUCAGUAAUCAAGUCGACAAUUGUCAUUCCGGAGCCUUUUAUCAAUUACUAUGACGUUAAGGUUUUCGAAAUUGUGGAAGCCUGAACAGCGACCUAUAUAUAAGUGCCUACUUCUACAUCAUUUGUCAUUGUUAGAGAGUUAUCUUAUUGGCAUUCACACAGCAUCUUCUAAUUAGAUCACCUGGUCUAUAGACCAAGGGGACUUUUCUUAUUAGUUGGCGCGUGUUGUUCGUAGUGACCGUCCGUUAAGGUUUACAAAAAUCUUUUCCUUUGAAAUAUCUGAGAUAAAUUAAACCAAAUAUAGUCAUAAAAAUCUUAAUGGUACAUGGCCGCCAUUGCUAAAAAAGGAACAAAGGGGAAAAUUUUGCACUUUUUUGUUAAUAUCUUAAAUACCAUUGUUGGUAGAAAUAAACUUUAAACAGCAAUAAUGUUCAACUUUGUAAGACAGCACGACCAAAAUUGUAAAUUGAUCUUUCAAAUUCAAAGAGUUAUAGUCCUAGCCUUAUACGGGGUAUAUAUCUCCGAAUUGAUAUGAUAUUCCCGUGCUUGAAUUUCCUAUAAUGAAUUUGUUGAUAUAGGGUUGCUGCUCACAAGGAAGCUAUUAAACCAAGACUUCCAAAUGGUGAAUUUGAGUUGGCUGACCGUUAUGGAAUAACUGUUUCACAGUUGAUAUCGAAAAUGUUCCUUACGUCUUAACUACAUCCCCUUCCCUUUCAUGAAUGUAAUCUACCAAAUCAGACUAUUUACCGGGUUCGUUAAAACAUGAGCAACACAACGGGUGCCACAUGUGGAGCAGGAUCUGCUUACCCUUCCGGAUCACCCCUUGUUUUUGGUGGGGUUCGUGUUGCUUAUUCUUAAGUUUUCUAUGUUGUAUCAUAUGAACUAUUGUUUGUCUGUCUGCCUUUUUCAUUUUUAGCCAUGUCAGUAUAUACUCGUAUGGUCGGGGUAAUUAACUAAGAUAAUGAAAAGGUAACUUCCAAAUAUUUCUAAAUAAACUGUUACACAAAAAGUCACUGGCAAAGAACUUAUUCUAUUUAAGUUAUUUUGUUAAUAUGGUGUUCUGUAGUCAUAUUACGGUAUAUGAAAUCUAGAGCCUCAUAAACAUCGUAGACACAUCGGAAAACCCAAAACCUUUGCAUCACUUCACGCAGCUGCAAUUAAGGCUAUCUUUUCAACUGCAAAUAAAAAGUGUAUCUGAAAGGAUCGCGCGCAACCAUGAUGUGCAAAUGCGAAAUAAGUUAUGUUACCGUGUGGAAGUAAAUGUCUUUAUAAGCCUCCGUGCAAAAAUGUAAUAAGCGAUGAAAAUUAACUUUGGCAUCAAUAUUUAAUUUUAACGUAUCCUUUAAAUUAAUACGUGUAUACAUUGUCAUGUAACCAUCAUUGUUUUUUUUUCAAAUAAAGGUUAUUGUAUUAUUGAAACGUUUGUGAUGAAUAUUUGUAAAAAAUACCUAUAUGGUUAAAAUACUCACAUGGUCCGGCCCGUUAAAAACCAUACCAGUAUAUACUCAUAAGGCCCGAACAUUCGCGUACGGUUGGACCAUUCGCGUAUGGUCGGACCAUAUGAGUAUAUGGUCAUGACCAUACGCGUAUGCUCCAAAUUCUUAUAUGGUCCCGAACAUAUAUAGUGUUCAAACAAAAUAUCUGUUAUAAAAUUCCACCCUGGUUAAAUGUAAAAUGUAAUCAAUUUAUGAUAUACUUCUUUAUCUAUUUCAGAAAACAACGCAUUUGCUCAAAUUCAUCCUGUCAAGUACAACCUUCCUAUAUAUGCCAAUUUGCGUGAUGAAUUAAGUGUUGAAACGCCAGGAAAUGAAGAUCUGACCAUAAAGGACUGUAUCAAGAUAGGCGACACAUUAGUGAUGACUGACUUUACGAAAAAACAACUUGUUAUUUGUAAUGUGGACGGUGGUGAGAUCCGUCACAGUCCUCUGACCUUUCGACCUUGGUAUAUAGCACAAGUAGAUAGUAAUAGUGUUGCAGUAGCAUGUACACCAGAUAGAAUCAUACUUAUAAUAGAUAUAAAUACAGGUAGUGUCACUUCUUCAAUCCUAACCAGUGAUUUCUGCGCGGGAAUAUCAUUUAAUGAUCCUAACCUGUACGUUGUUAUUGGUGGAAGUGUAUUACAAACGAUGGACUUGGCAGGUGACGUAAUACGUACUGUACCUUUAUAUUCGGUCACUAUAUGCGACAUCAUAGUAGACAGAAACAGGGUUGUCUAUACAGACUUAUUGUCAUUAACUUGCUGCUCGUUAGAUGGAAAUAUACUGUGGAAAUUUGAAUGUAAUAAAUAUAAAGCAUUACUUCGUGUAACAGCAGAUGACGAACGGCAUGUGUAUGUGACUGAUGAAGAUAGCGACACUGUUUUAGUAUUUGAUGAUGGUAGUUAUUAUAAAGAGAUUCUAACUGAAACUGAUAGAUUAUAUAGGCCGCGUGGAAUUUAUUUCGACAAACAAGAAAAUGUUCUGCUUGUUAGCAACUAUUAUGGUGGAAAGGCUUUUCUUUUUGACGUUAAAAAGAAAGAAAAAUGAAUGAACGUGAUCUUUGUUUCUGGCAAUAAGUGUAAUCAGAUUCAGGUCUUUUUGUGGAUUUCGACAUUCGAGAAUAAUAAUGUGAAUCUUAUUUAUUGACAAAUUAAGAAAUCUUUCUAUUUAUAUCAAAUUGUAUUAAAAAAGUUAUGACAUGCUAAAAUGUAAAAGUUGGUUGUCACCAGGUUUGAUGAUAGGUUUUGAAAAUUUGACGAACAUGAAACAAAAAAGCACCAGGUCUAAACCCCAUCAAGCCUGGAAUGUUUAAUACAUCCAAAUUAAAUUUCUUAUAGAAAACAAAAAUACAGAAAUUUAGAUAAUGUGCAUCUUUUCACGGGAUGUUGUCUUUGAUGAAUACUCUUUUUCUUUCUUUCGAAUUGUUUGAAGACAUUUUAGAUUUCAAUUAUGGAAUCAUAGAAAUUGUUUCGCAACAAAUUAUCUACUUUUUAGGAACAAAAACCAGUUUCUGUUACAAUUUUCCUUUUUGUAAUAUGUAUAAUGCAUACUCUAUUAAGGCAUUCAGAACGCAUACAAUAUAAGUCGGAGAACAUAUUGACAACAACGCCAUUGCUAAAACCUAUUAGACUGAGAAACACCCCUUAAAAAUUCAUACGCAUUAUAUUUAAUAAUUGCAAAUCUAAUUUAAGUAAAUGAAAAUAUAUUUCUAUGUAUGCUAUACUGCAAGUAUUGCAUGCGCUAUAAAUAUGGAAAUUCAAACUGAUGGUGUAGGCUUCACAUAUAAAAUUUUGAAAUGUUUGUAAAUCGAUGAUUGCAUGACAGAAUUGUUUGAAGUAUGUUAAACCAAGUAUUACUUAAGCCUAACCGAAUGAAAUAUUGAGUGUUGCAUACUUAACGAGAAACUAUUAUAAUUAUAAUAUGCAAAAGAUAGCUUCAAGGAAGUCUGACAAAAAUCAAGGGCGCGGGUUUCAACUGACAUUUAAAUAAGUAUAUGUUGGAUAUGGCAUAAGUGAAGCCUUGCAACAUGCCGCAUAUAAAUCCCUCAGAUUUAGAAGGAUUCAUUAACAUUGAGAGUACGUGGCAUGCUUUACACAAGGCAUAUAAUUUUGCAUGAAAUAAAAAUUGUUGCGUGCACUCUGAAUUCAUUUACUAGAACAAAUGUUCGUCAGUUUGCGCAACACAUAUUUAACUAAGACUUUUUCAAAUAAAUGUAUUCAGAAUGAUUGGGUGUUUGAUUACUAGCCUGUCAAAAAGAGUAACAAAAUGAAAAACCAAUAUCAAAACGAAAAGUUUAAAAAAGUAAAAAAAAAACCACAAGACAGUAGGUUCAUUACCUUGGACAGACAUGAUUGGUCCGAAUAAAGUGUUAGCUGCAAAGAAGUACCAUUUAACAAUUUUCUCAGUAUCUGAACAGAAUAUCACAUCCUAUAUAUGUAAAUGCA
rnacentral:lncRNA from 1 species